rnacentral:lncRNA from 1 species
GCGGGUCCUUCGGCUGCUCAUGGGCGGGUCUGGCGCUGCCUCGGCUGCGGUCGCCACGUCUGCCUUCUCCCUCCCACCACCAAAGCCUUAAAGCAUGGGAAGGGUCUCCUUUAAAAGGAGGUGUUUCCAGAUUUGCGAUCUCGGAGCAGCACAUAGAGAUGAGCUGUGUGUGCAGUGAUGUUUACGGCGGAGGCAGCAUGUGAGCUUCUUGUCCAGUAAAAAACAAGCAGGCGCUGAGGUGAGGAUCCCUGAGGAAGCUGGCGUCCGCCCACCUGACCCUGGAGGAACGGUCGCUGGUAAAACCAAGGGAGAGCUUUGGUGCCUGUCCCCGCAGGCGCCUGGAGGAACCUCAGCCGCUUCCUCCGAGCCAGUCCCUCCACAGCCUCAUCCAGAGGGCAGGGCAGUUCUUCCAUCUGAAUGAAGCCCCAAGGAAACUCUCCUGCUGGGGACAGGAGGUGUCCCAGAAGAACAAGGACAUGGUCCCAUAGGCCGUGGAAGGGUUACAAUGCCACACGCAAACCUGGUGCAAAGGGAGUGUCGGAGGCCCUUGUCACCCUCCUGGAGGCGUAGAAAAUUAAAAAUCCACGGAAAGGGGAGGGGCGAGAGGUCACAGGCCCGUGGCUUCCAGGCGGGGCCCCGCCGAGUUCGGGGGCUGCUCAUGCGCGAGGG